rnacentral:rRNA from 1 species
AUUAGAUAAAAGACCAAUGCCCUUCGGGGCUUUCUGGUGAUUCAUAAUAACUAAACGAAUCGCAUGGCCUUGAGCCGGCGAUGGUUCAUUCAAAUUUCUGCCCUAUCAACUUUCGAUUGUAGGAUAGAGGCCUACAAUGGUUUCAACGGGUAACGGAGAAUUAGGGUUCGGUUCCGGAGAGGGAGCCUGAGAAACGGCUACCACAUCCAAGGAAGGCAGCAGGCGCGCAAAUUACCCAAUCCCGACACGGGGAGGUAGUGACAAUAAAUACUGAUACAGGGCUCUUUUGGGUCUUGUAAUUGGAAUGAGUACAAUUUAAAUCCCUUAACGAGGAACAAUUGGAGGGCAAGUCUGGUGCCAGCAGCCGCGGUAAUUCCAGCUCCAAUAGCGUAUAUUAAAGUUGUUGCAGUUAAAAAGCUCGUAGUUGAACCUUGGGUCUGGCUGGCCGGUCCGCCUCACCGCGUGCACUGGUCCGGCCGGACCUUUCCUCUUGGGGAUCCGCAUGCCCUUUACUGGG